GACUAGGAACGCUCUAGGUGGCUGAUUGGCCCAGAGUAUGCCUCAAUCAAUUGGUUCAUCUUUAAUUGUAUUCAUGUUGUGCUCGUGACGAUGAGCGGUUCGGCGAAUGGAUUGCUGGAUACUAUUUCAAACAGCAAGGACUCACAAAGUUGUGAUUAAAAUAGUGAAUAUUUUAUUUAUGUAUUCAUAUGUAAAUCCACCAGUCAAUAAUUAAAUAAGACAUUUAACAUUUACGUAACAUUGAACACCACGGAAAUCAAAACGAACAAAGUAAGGCAUCUACAUUUUUUUUCAAUGUGUUUUCCAGAAACGUCUAUAUUUUUUUUCAUUUAAUGAAUGAAUGAAUGAUUUAUUGUAAAGAGUAAAAAUCAAAUCAUCGGAUACGCUUUUCCUCACGAGGGUCAUGGGUGUGCUGGAGCCUAUCCCAGCUGUCUUAGGGGCAGUAGGCAGAGUACACCCUGAACUGGUCGCCAGCCAAUCGCAGAGCACACACAGACGAACAACCAUCCAUGCUCACACUCACACCGAGGGACAAUUUUGAGUGUUCAAUCAGCCUGCCAUGCAUGUCUUUUGGAAUGUGGGAGGAAACCGCAGUACCCAGAGAAAACCCACGCAGGCACGGGGAGAACCUGCACAUUCUAUGGCCGGGAUAGGACCCCACACCACUGCACUAUGAGGCAGAUGUGCUAACCAGUCAGCCACCAUGCUGCCCUCAUGCCGUGCCACCUUUUAAAUAAUACCACCGCCCCCCAAAAAAAAACAGAA